rnacentral:tRNA from 1 species
GCGCGGACGCGGAACCAACGAGUUCAGUCGAACAGCGUAACGAGUCUAAGGUUACAGAAGCGUUCGCCUACUUUGAUAGGUAAACGCAUUGCAAGCAAAUAGAGCAGAGAGCUUACCGUCUUUUUCUAUUAGAGUCGCGAGCUUGGCUUGUUGUAGUCGGUCCGUGAAGAGAGAACUUGCUGCUUACUUGCUAUAUCCCCGCGUUCUUGCACGGCUCGUUCUUCGAGCCCUGCUUCUCCCGUCCCCCUCUCCUUUUUUACUUUAUCGUCCAAAACAAGGCCGUAUGGAGUAUAGCCAAGUGGUAAGGCAUCGGUUUUUGGUACCGGCAUGCAAAGGUUCGAAUCCUUUUACUCCAGAUUAUGAACACCCGAUCGGAUCUGUCAAGAACGAGCUGACGACUACAGGGGAAGCGGCUGAUUGCAGUCCCUGAGCCCAGCCCCCGGAGCCGGAGCCGGAGGGGAGGAAUGCAUGGUUCCCUGGCGCUUCAUGGGACGGGCGUUCGCAGUCCCCCUCCCUCUAAUCUAACCCUCCCCCGCUCCCCAUACGAAUUUGAACUACGAUCCCCUGGAGCAAAAGGCUGUGGAUACACUUUUUAAUGCUGUCACCGAAAGUGUAAAAAAACUAAAUGUAAGACAUAAAUAUCCCUGCCGGAAAACAGGACAUAUUCAAAAAUAGUCGAGCAGGUCAUUCAUUGGGGAUCCGGCGGAUCUACGUUAUGUGAGAUUUUUUCUGAUAUUACGGAGUAUGGCUUUGCCAGUAAUUACUUUCACGAGGCAUUAACCUCUAUUCUAUUGGGGGCCGGGGGUUGGUGGAUAAAGAAAGAUGGACAGUAAGGAUUGCGUAAUAUAAAUUUUUCGGCCUCGCUUAGGUUCCUAUCGAUUCUCCCCGGAUUUGAGGAUCACCUUUGACCUGCCCGACAUGCUGUUGACUUGGAGAUUAAUUCUUCGGCCGUACCUUCUGCGGUCGUUACGCUUGGUCGGUCAUGCUGGGACCAAAGAAAAGUAGAAGCCUCAACCGUGUCGAAGGCAUUAUAACUACAGUAGCAUUAAGACCUCAAAAAUCAACAUCUACAUCCCGUCGCUACCCUUUCAGCCCUUUAAAUGUUCAUCUUCCCGCGUGAGGGUGAUCAGCGUUCUCGUUCACGAAGCCAACCGAGUUGCUCAUGGGAAGGAGCAUGUGAGGGAGAAGGACCAAACUUCGUCUCUUCGAACGGAGCCCAGGUUUCCUUUUUGAUACUAUGUAAAACCUCCUCAUCAACAGACGUUUCCCGAAUAACCAUUCAUUUCAUGAAAAACCUGCGCUUGUUAGCAGCUGAAUCACUCUCUCCUCUCGUAGUGGGCCUCUUUUCUUUCCCUUCCCCCGCUGGCAUGAGGAAAGGGUCCAUUCCACUAGCUCUUCUUCUUGAUUAAAGAGAGGGGUGCGCUUUCCCUUUGAAUGAGUAGAUCUUCCAGCCCCCGUGCCUACCUUUACUCAAUGCUCCUGAAGUCCGAAAAGGAGACUGUGAGUGGACAGGGGGCAGGGAAGUUCAGUUACAGAAAUGGUAGUCGUGGACUGGUACCGCAUGCCUACUUUUGGUAAUCCUUAUUGUGAUCCCUCACUCUGGGCUAAGAUAGUCUCUUAAGUGCUAGCGUGACGGGAGAGCAAAUAGCAAUGAACCUUAUCUACAGUAUUAGUUCCCUCCUACCAAGAACUAAACAAGUUCUCUAUGCGGGGAAAAGGGUACCGAUAGGCGGAUUGACGCAUCUGAGCAGGCAGGGAAGACUUAGUGCUUGGAAUAUAAAUGCUAUGAGGCUUGGGCGAGAGAGCAGGUCUAGGAGGCCCAGAUAUUGCAUCAUGUGAAAGCAGCGAAAAGACCCAUAAGAGCUGUAAACAAGUGAGAUAGGCACGAAAGGGGGGCAUUCUGGGGAUGUCUCUUUCAUCAGCCAGCACCUUCAACAGCCAGUAGGAAAGAUGCCGACACGGAUUCGAUUCAAGAUUCAAGAUAGGGUACGCCCGAUGACCAGGCAGGGCGGCACAGCCCCCAACCAAGGGGGCUAGCAGCUCUUUUAUCCGCUGCUGUCUCUGCUCUGACUGACGAAGGAAGAUGUGACCGACUGCAUUAGCACUUGUUGAAUUGGUCUUCUUUGAGUGCAAUAAAUUCGAAGUAGUUCAAAUAGCCCUGAUCGACGAUGCGCGCGUCAGUCCCUUCCCUCUCUCUUGGCCGGCCUAUUCUUGUCCAGUAACCAUUCUUUCGUUAAGAGUUCCGCGC